rnacentral:lncRNA from 1 species
GCCCUCUGGGAGCCAGGCCCGGGGGCCCCACGGCAGGGCCAGGUGCCUCCUCGUGUGCUGUGUCCCCACAUCCUGCCCCAGCCACAGAGGAGCCCAGCAAGCGGGACGCACACUUGCUUGCACAGCUCUGGGCAGCUCUACAGAUGCACAGUGCGGUUUCGUAGUAUUUUUAGCUUUGUUGUUUUUGCAAAAGCCAAAGGAAGUCUGUAGGCCGAGCUGUACCUUCCCAUCCCUGAGAACGGCUGAUCUGCUCAGCCGAGGACGCACAGAGCUCAGUGCAGAGAGGAAACCUCCGAACGCAAGGUCCAGAGGUCAGAAGGCACCUGCUGUGAGCUGGAGCCUGUCCUGGGCCAUUCCUGGUCAGGGCUGACUGAGGUCGUCAUUGCAAUCAUCUCAUUUUCCAUAGGAGGAUGCUGAGGCCCACAAAUGACCAAGACCCCCGACCUUUCGCUACGCACAGACCAGAGAGCACCUCUGCUCCCUGAGCUGGGCGUGCUUUUCACUCUGCCUUCUGUCCACACAUAGCAGAGGGCCUACCGCCGUUCUCAGCAACGAAAACACAGCAGUAAGGGACCCAGAGGAAGUCCCUGCCCUCCUGCUGGGAGGGAGACAGACACACAGAGAAGGAAUUCACGCUGCAAAGGAGUGUCAUUUUGUGAUUGUGUCUGUGAGGGAAAAAUGCAGCCACGCAAGGGGAUAAAGACAGUGAUGCUGUUCUGGGGUGAUCAGGGAAGGCCUCUCCAAGGAGGGCAUUUGGGCAGAACUGUGAAUGCAGUGAGGGAGCAAGCCAUGUGGAUUCUAGGGUAAGAACAUUCUAGGUGGAGGGAACAGCAUGUACAGAGGCCCUGGGGCAGGGAAUAUGUUUAUUGUACCAUCUCCCCCUUUGAUUCUGAUUCUCUGUGUGUGUUUGCCUCCCCACUCUCCCAGCAGCACAGCUACGAAUCAUCUCGAUUGUUCCCUCCAUCUGUCACCCCGACGUGUCUAGGGGUGUGGCAUGGGGUAGUGGUUGUGUGGCAAGAAAAAGCAAACAGAAUUAAAUGAGGCAGAAGAAAAGGGUAUCUCUAACAGGAAAUUACUUGCCUCACUUCUUAAUCCUCUUGUACAGUUCACUCGGGUGACAUUUAAAGUAGUUUUGUAUUCUCGCUUUGCAUUUAUUCUUGAAACACAUGUUCAAACCAUGAGUUUUUAGUGCACUGUAAUCCACUAUUUCAGGCCCAUCUUUCCAAGCAAGGCGGGAACCUGGAUUCCAAAACCACAGAAAUAGAGCAAGAAAUCGUGUUGGGGCUGCACCGCUGACUCAGUUGACCUCGGGAGAGGGCGCUGCAGUGGCAGAGCCUGGGGUGGGGGGAGGGGGGCAUGGCCAUUAGCAGGCUGGGAUCUCGGGCGGGCCCCACCCCGCUGGGGGCUCUGUUCACUGGCCCUCUGAUGGUGGUACUGAUGCCUGACUGCUGCAUGGGUCAGGAGCCCCGGAAGCGAGAUACUUUGGAAGUUAGGGUCCCUAGGUUCUAUCUUGGUGCCACUACAGGCUCGUGCAAAACCUUGGGCAAGUCACGUCCCCUCCCUGAGCCUGUUUCCUUACCUGGAGAAGGAAGCAGAAAUCUGUGGUCCUCCCCACGUUCCUCUGCGAUCCUAAAAUGCCGCAAGCCUUUGCCUCCAAGGCAGGCAGCAACCGCGCACAAGGAGGACAGAGCCUCCGGGCAGCUCCCCUUUCAUUUUGUGGACCUGUGGUCUCAGCAGAGAGACGCCCCGCACAGGGGGCACGACCUUGGUGGUCCUGCCUCAGGCGUUCGGAUGAGAGUCUGAGCAGUCCUCGCCUCUCCCUGAUCUGGGACCUGAGGCUGCAGAGCCAGAAACUCAUUUCUGUGGGCAGAGGAAUGUCUCUCUUUCCUCGGGGCCCAGAAGGACUUACUAAGUCUUCGGUUAACUGAAUCUCAUUCAGCUGGAAAAAUAAUUAUCAGAAAGCCGUUCUGCCUGGUUACUGGCCUCUGAGCUCCUUGAAUGCAUCUCACAAGGAACGCUCAGAGAGCUUCUGUACCCCGGGACUCCGAGCCCGGCGCUCCCUGCUUCCUCCCGCAGGGGCAGACAGCCUGGUGGUCUACUGGCAAGCCCAUCGUCAGUCAGCACCACUGAGUCGUCCGUCUGUCCAUCUGCCCAUUGGACAGUCCCCAUGAGAGGCCGGGGCCAAGGGUAUAGUACCAGGGACACAGAAGUAAAUAAGCCACGGUCCGUGCCCUCCACGGCAGUUCAGGCUCAACCUGACCACUUUGUCCAUUUGGUCCAAUUCCAGAGAGUUCAUGGCUGAGCUCACUCUCAAGGUCAGCAAAAUGCAAACUUUUAGAAACUUUCACCUGUCGCUGUUACCUGUUUUUUUCCAACGUCUGCCCAAAUUCGUUGGCUUAACGUGUUCCGUGUUUACUGAGUGAAGCUAAUGUCUCUCUCUUCUUCGGUCCAAUCAAAUUUUCUUCUGGUCCAUUCCAUCCAAUACAUCCAAGCCCCAGGUGAAUUCUGGGGGGCUGGGGGAAGAAGGACUCAUGGUUAGUUGGCAGAAGACGUGGGGCUCCUGGGUCAGAGACAAGGGACUCUGUUACUCACGGCACAGCCAGCAGCUGCAGCAUUGGGUCUGUGUUGGCUGCCUUCCCUGCUGGGAGCCCUGGGGCCAGGCAGAGGGCCAGGCAGAGGGCUGCACAUGUGAUGGGCUGCAGCGCAGAAAAGGAGCCCUGGGGCCAGGCAGAGGGCCAGGCAGAGGGCUGCACAUGUGAUGGGCUGCAGCGCAGAACAGGAGCCCUGAGCUCGGGGAAUCCGCCGUUCUGCAGCCAGCAGUAGGCAAGCCAUCUCUUUGCCCCAGAGGGACACAGUUCCUCGUGUUUCCUGAUUGCUUCCUGCAAACACAACCCUGAAAACGGAUCCAGAUAAAGAGCGGUCAGGGCCUUUCAUUCGUAGUAUACCCAGAAAUCACCUAUGAAUAUGAGACCCAUGGAGGAGUGUCUCCAUUGAAAGUCUGGCCUAACACCUGCUAACUGAGGUUAGGCAAACUGCAAUUGCUGGACAACUUGUUUCUCUCUCUCUCUCUCCCUUUUUUUUUUUUUUCGCUGAGGAAGAUUGUCCCUGAGGGAACAUCCGUGCCAGUCUUCCUGUAUUUUGUAUGUGGGUUGCUGCCACAGCAUGGCCACCAACAAGUCAUGUACAUCUGUGCCCAGGAACUGAGCCCAGACUGCCAAAGCAGUGCAUGCUGACUUAACCACCAGGCCACAGGGCUGGCCCCUUGCUAGACUUCUUUUCAUCUCAGUUUUUUUAUCUGUUAAGUGAGGGUGAUACCUACCUUCAGGUGAUUAUUGAAGAUUAUGUUAGAGAACUCUCCUAAGAAUACAGUGGGAAAUAAAAGAAAGUCCCUGGGCUCAAGGAACCUAGUUGCAUGCAGAAUUUUUGCAGCUAUACACAAGGAUAGACUGUCGGG